rnacentral:lncRNA from 1 species
UACUUUUUCUUUGUGUGCCUACGCUGGCGGCGCCCGACCGUUGGCGCCGGCCGGCCGCGCCGGCGCCACAGUUCAAAUCGGGCGUCGACGUCGGCCGCCCGGCCGGCGCGCCACCGGGUUUCGCGUUCGCUGGGCCUGGGACUGCCCGCGGUCGACCGGGACCCAGUCCUGCUGUAAAAGAGGAAGCUGAGCAGAAUCACGCGGCUGGCACGAACUUGCACCGGACAGAUGCCGUCUACCGGCUCUACACGGGUCCAGAUGGGCUGCGUGCCCGCAUUAGGUAUAGCUACGUUCUGACUUCUGAAAAUUCUGAUCGCCACGGAAGAUUAAGAAAUCUAUCUGUCAGAACAACAGACAGUAUCACCGAUCGGAAUGAUAUUGUAUCACGUCGUUCAUUGUGCCUAUGUGGAAUAGCGUACGUAUGGCCCAGUGUAUAACUACAUUGUAAUUCUGUUCUUGAUUCUGAUAGCAAUCGCCUCAUCGAUGUGGUGUUGACCAAACAACAAUGUCCAUGUGUAGUUAAUGUCUAAUGUUAGUAGGUACGUACUGAUGAAAAUGUAUAUGCUUGCAGAGUAAAACAAUAAAAAUAAUUCACGGUGCA